rnacentral:snRNA from 1 species
CUUGGAUUUAGUUUAAGACUUAGAUUUAGUGUAGUAUCUGUUCUUAUCAGUUUAAUAUCUGAUAGAUCCUCAAUGAGAGGACUUUAUAUUAAAUGGAUUUUUGGGUGUUUGAUGACUGGAA